UGUUCUGUGGCUGAGUUGGUUAAAGCGCCGGACUAGCGAUAUGGAGUCGUGGGUUCAAAUGCCAGCAAAAUAA
rnacentral:tRNA from 1 species